rnacentral:rRNA from 1 species
CGAACGCUGGCGGCGUGCUUAACACAUGCACGUCGACCGGCAAGGCCCUGCUUUUGUGGGGUGCUCGAGUGGCGAACGGGUGAGUAACACGUGAGUAACCUGCCCUUGACUUUGGGAUAACUUCAGGAAACUGGGGCUAAUACCGGAUAGGAGCUCCUGCUGCAUGGUGGGGGUUGGAAAGUUUCGGCGGUUGGGGAUGGACUCGCGGCUUAUCAGCUUGUUGGUGGGGUAGUGGCUUACCAAGGCUUUGACGGGUAGCCGGCCUGAGAGGGUGACCGGCCACAUUGGGACUGAGAUACGGCCCAGACUCCUACGGGAGGCAGCAGUGGGGAAUAUUGCACAAUGGGCGGAAGCCUGAUGCAGCAACGCCGCGUGCGGGAUGACGGCCUUCGGGUUGUAAACCGCUUUCGCCUGUGACGAAGCGUGAGUGACGGUAAUGGGUAAAGAAGCACCGGCUAACUACGUG